rnacentral:lncRNA from 1 species
UGAAACCUUGGUGUGCAAAGAGUCUUCUACGUUGUACUGAUCCUUAGCAAUCAAACCGUAUGGGGAGUUUGUGAAUAUUGCGCAUAUCAGCAAACGCAGGGACCUUCACUUAUAUAGACAUAUUAACCUAAGAGGCUUAGCCCAUCAUUGAGACCUAAUAGGUAACUGAAUAUGUCUAUAUCUCCUUAACCAAUCAGGAUUAGGAACCCCUUUAGCAAGAAUAACAACUUAAUAUUACAUUCCUUUUGCAACUGGUAAAGUCCAAGUUAAUUCCCUAAUCCUAUAACUUGAUCCUCAAGUAACGUACAAUGAUUGUGAGACCACAAAACCUGUGAGAACCGGAUUUUACUCCAACAUUCUCCCACUUGGUCGAAACAAGCAUUGUAUGAAACUUAACUUAAGAGAAAACAAAUCAGGAUUACUUUAGUGGCCAUGGAAAUCACUUAAACUCAAAGUUCCUUAUAGCUUCUGUCAAUUAGCACAAUCACAUAGAACUAACAAGUCUAUUGGACAAGAGCAACGUCCAUAGUCUUCAUAAUCACAUAUGUGAGCAUGGUUAAUCACAUGAAACAUCAAUAAGUGAGAAAAUCGAAAUAUAAAUAUCAAACUUGAUGUAAUAUAUUGAUAUUUUAAUUUCUAAGGUCCUCCUUGAUCAGACCAUGAAAGUCUGCUUAAUGCUUCAACCGAAGCCCUCCAAAACUAUUAAAAGAAUGAAGAAUAACGACUGAAACCUUAUGUCCAAAACCCAGUCAGUUCUAGCAUGAUGACUGGUGUAACUGUAUCAGAACACCUUAGUUUUCUACUCUUAAUGAAAACAGUAUCUGAAAACAUUCUUCAUAUCAUCUUGUAAAUGCUUGUGACUUUAAAGCAUUAACUUUACUUUUUUACUUCAUAGCUGCAUUCAAACAGCCACACAAAUAUAUAAAACAUCUAACAAGUUCAUAAUAAAAAUAACUGAAAAUGCUUCAAACUUUAUAAUCCAAACUCACGAACCAACCAAAACUAAUAGUUUUAGUGACUUAACUCCAGAAUCAAUGCAAGGGAACUAACUAAAAUAAAUGAAUCUCCCACUAAUUCAGUGCAUCAAAAUCGAAAACUAAGCCCAUGUUUUUCACAUGCACAUGGAACGCUGCAUUAGGAAGAGCUUUGUUGAGUGGAUCCGCCGACAUUGACUUAGUAUCAAUGUAAUCAAUUUUAAUUUGCUGCUUCUUGACUUCCUUGCGAAUCAUCUUAUACUUGAGAUCCAAAUGUCUAGUUCUAUUAGACCUUCUGUUGUUCCGAGCAUGGAAAACAACAGCUUUGUUAUCGCACCAUAACUGAAUUGGCAUAGCAAUCGAUUCGACAACAUUCAUGCUAGAUAUGAAGUUCUUCAACCACACAGCUUGUGAAGUGGCUUCAUAACAAGCUACAUAUUCAGCCUGCAUUGUAGACGUUGCAACUUCCCCUUGUUUUGCACUUUUCCAAGACACUGCUCCCCCAGUGAGCAUGAAAACGUAGCUGGAAGUAGACUUGAGAGAAUCUGCACACCCCGCAAAAUCCGAAUCCGAGUAGCCAAUCAACUCGAGAUUAUUGGUCCUUCUAUAGCAGAGUUUAUAAGUCUUAGUCCUUUUCAAAUAUCUCAUGACUCUUUUUGCAGCCAUCCAAUGAGAAAAACCUGGAUUAGAUUGAUAUCUAGACAAAACACCAAUUGCUUGAGUGAUGUCGGGUCUAGUGCACACUUGUGCAUACAUGAGGCUGCCAAUAAGAGAAGCAUAGGGUCUUCCAGCCAUCUCUACCCUUUCAAUUUCAGUUUUAGGGCAUUGGGAUUUACUUAGCUUAUCUGCCUUUGCCAUGGGAAUGUCACAACCAUUGCAAUCCUGCAUCUCGGACCUUUUCAAAACUUGUUCAACAUAAGCCUUUUGAGAUAAGCCAAGUAUUUUAUUCUUCCUAUCUCUAGUAAUUUCUAUCCCCAAGAUGUAAGAAGCCUCUUCCAUAUCCUUCAUCUCAAAUCUAUUAGACAAGAAAAGCUUUGUCUCAUGGAGUAGGGUAAGAUUUGUGCUAGCUAGCAAGAUAUCAUCUACAUAAAGUACCAAGAUUACAAAAUGCCUCCCACUGAAUUUUAGAUAUAUGCACAUCAGACGGGUUCUCAAUUAAACCAUAAUCUUGUAUAACUUGAUCAAACUUCAAGUACCAUUGUCUUGAGGCUUGUUUCAAACCAUAAAUGGAUUUCUUGAGCUUACACACUAAAUUCUCUCUCCCUUCUUGAAUGAACCCUUCCGGUUGCUUCAUGAAAAUUUCUUCAUCCAAAUCACCAUUCAAGAAUGCAGUUUUUACAUCCAUUUGGUGUAGAAACAAGUCGAAGUGAGCUACAAGUGCCAUUAUGACCCUAAAUGAAUCUUUGGUAGAAACGGGAGAAAAUGUCUCAUUGUAGUCAAUUCCUUCCUUUUGAGUGAACCCUUUGGCUACUAAUCUAGCCUUAUAUCGCUCUAUAUCUCCCUUAGAAUCUCUUUUGGUUUUGAAUACCCACUUACAUCCUACAGCCUUGCACCCCUUUGGUAAUUGUACUAGCUCCCAAACUCCAUUCUUACUCAUUGAUUCAAGCUCAGACUUCAUGGCUUUCAACCACUCUUCAUUUUGAGAACUAGUCACGGUCUCCUUGAAUGUAAUUGGAUCAUCAACCUCUCCCAGAUUAAAUUCAGAUUCUUGUAGAUAACAAAUAAAAUCAUCCGAUAUUGCAUGCCUUCUAAUUCUUUGGGAUUUUCUUAAAAGGACUUGGUUUUGGUCAUCGGUAUUACUAGCAGGGACUAUGGGCUCACUCACUUGGAUUGGUAUAUCAUGGUGAUCAUGUACAAUUUCUUGCUGCUCACUUUCCACGUGAGCAUUAAGAGAUGGACUUUCAUCACUUGCUGCCAUGGUGGAGUUAACCACAACAUCUUCUUGUACAACAAGUCCUUGUUCAUUAUUUAAUUCCUUUUCCUCUUCAAAGCUGAAGCUUUCAACCUCUAAAUCACCAACCGACCCUUCUAUAAACUUAGCUCUCCCAGUUUCAAUAAUUCUUGUGGUGUGAUUUGGACAAUAAAAUCGAUAACCUUUGCUCCUUUCGGGAUAUCCAAUGAAAAAACAACUAAUGGUUCUUAGGUUUAAUUUUUUCUCCAAUGGUUAUAAGCUCUUGCUUCUGCCUUGCAACCCCAAACUUUUAGAUGAAAUACACUCGGUUUCUUCUUGUACCAUAAUUCAUAUGGAGUGCUUGGAACAGAUUUGCUAGGAGCUCUAUUUAAGAUGUAGUUUGAUGUCUUUAUAGCGUCACCCCACAAAAACAUUGGCAACUUUGUGCAGCACAUCAUACUCCUCACCAUAUCUUUAAGAGUUCUAUUUCGUCUUUCCGAAACUCCGUUCUGUUCAGGUGUUCCAGGAUUAGUGUACUGUGCUACAAUGCCAUUCUUUUCCAAAAACAGUGCAAAAGGUCCAGGACGACGGCCAGCUUCAUCAUACUUGCCAUAGUAUUCCCCGCCUCUAUCGGAUCUAACAACUUUGAUCUUUAAGUCCAAUUUGUUUUCCACUUCAGCUUUAUAUAUUUUAAAAGCUUCAAAAGCUGCAGAUUUUUCAGUCAAAAGAUAUAAGUAGCCAUACCUUGAAUAGUCAUCAAUGAAGGUGAUGAAAUAUUUAAAGCCAUCAUGUGUUGGUGUGGGAAACGGACCGCAAAUGUCGGUGUGAAUAAGUUCCAACAGAUUUUGGCUUCUAAUUGCACCCUUCUUUUUGGUGUUAACCAUUUUCCCUUUUAUACAUUCAACACAAACAUCCAUGUCUUGAUAAUCAAGCGGUGGCAAAAUUUCAGUUUUGUUAAAGUUUGCAUUCGUUCCUUUGAUAUAUGUCCUAACCGUUUGUGCCAUAACUUGGAUGAAGUUUCAUUGGUUGAAAUCCUUCUCUUAACUCCUACGGUGUUCAUGGAGACAAAUGGAACCUUGCAAUUUAGUUUAAAUAAACCAUCAACAAAUAGACCACUUCCAACGAAAUUCAACUUGUGAUUAAUAUCGAAGCCAUCUUUAUUAAAACUAGGAAAGAAUUUAUUCUUGAUGAGUUUGCCAACGGAAACCAAAUUCCUUCUCAUUGAAGGUACAUAAAUAACAUCUUCUAAAUCUAAAACAAAACCAGAAUCCAAAACAAGUCGAACUACUCCAAUGAACUCCACCGGUACUCUUUCUCCAUUGCCUACGAACACGCUUACUUCAUCCUUGUUUGGCACCCUCUUGCUUAUGAACCCCUGCAAGGUAUUUGUAAUAUGCACAGAAGCACCAUUAUCAAGCCACCAUGUAUCAGAAGGAACAUCAACCAAACUAGUUUCAAAGCAAACAAACACAAUGUUCUUACCUUUAGCCUUUUGUUUCUCCAACCAACGCCUAUACUUUGGGCAAUCCUUUUUCAAAUGUCCAGCAAACUUCUUACAGAAAAAACACUUCAAACCAUUUGGCUUGUUUGCUGCCUUGAAGUUGUUAUACCCUUUAGGUUUGUAGGAGGGGUUUUUGGAAAUUUCUUUGACUGAAUUCUUAGCAUGUGGACUAAAUUAGCGACCUUGCUCUUGUCAUGUCUUAUGUUCUGCUCUUCGUGAACACAAAUAGCUAUAAGCUCAUUGAGAUCCCACUUUUCCUUUUGAGCAUUGUAGGUGCUUUUUAGUUGAGAGUACUCCGAAGGCAAAGAGUUAAGGGCCACAGGAACCAGGAAUGGAUCACUAAUUGCAACAUCCAAAGCAUUUAACUUAGUAGCAAUAUCAAUUAGCCCAAAUAUGUGCUCCCUCACACUUCCAUCGACAAACUUGGUUGUCAUCAAUAAGUUCAUAAGGUUUCCGGUUUCAGCUUUGUCGGAUUCCUUGAACUUAGCUUCAAUUGAUGCCAAAAAUUCUUUAGCACUAUCCGUAUCAGCAAUACCACCUCUCACAGUGUCAGACAUUGCCCUUUUCAUAAUGAGAAUUGCCAUCCUAUUUGCCUUAUGCCACUUUUCAUACUUAUUUUUAAUCUUAGUCGAGUCGUCCUCUUCAGGAACAUCUGGUUCUUCCUCUCUCAAAGCAACAUCUAAGUCCAUGAGACCUAGAAUAAUCUCUAUGUCUUGCUUCCACUUUUUAUAGUUGGUCCUAGUUAAAGCUUGGAUUGAAUUGAAAUUCAAAGAAGCAUUGACAGCUGAAGAUUUAAACAAACAAUACAUACUUAAUCCCCAUAAACUUCAAAACAUAAUUAACUUACACCUACGGGCAAGAAAGUUAAUAUGUAUGUGGCACUAAAAUACAUAGUUAUAAGAAUUACUUUCAUGAAAAAUUUUCCACUCUUACGAGCAAGAAGAAAACCUUCCACAAAUUCUUACAGUAUAUAUUCCAUACCAUGCUAUUGUCUAAUUGAACCAAUUAAAAUAAUUCACACUUACGAGCAAGAAGAUUAUCAUAAUCGUUAUAAUUAAAACAACAAAAUUUGAUCAAUAGGACUUUGGAUUUAGAGACCACUCAAAUCAAUUAAGCCGCUACGGCUUGCUUAAUCGAUAUCAACCAAGUGAUACCUAAAAACUUGAUCAUAUAUUACUUUAUGCAUGUCAGAUUAUUAAUCUUUAUAUCAGACAUGUCUUUCUAGAACCGGAAACAAUCCAUCAUGCAAAUAUAUGUCCAGUUUCAAUGUCUUUCAAUUAGUCCUUAUAUUGGCAAUACGUUAAUUAACACGGCAUCCAUGCACAACAAUAUAAUAAUGUAAACCCAUCAUCCACUUUGAAUGCCAGAUAAUUGAAAAAACAUAGCAGCCAUCAUGCGUAAUUAUUUUAAGGCAAAAAACUGAACCAGAAAACUAUAAACUAUAACAUGAUGAACGACAGAAAAGGAACUUUAUCGAGUUUUCUAAUUUAAUUUUCUUUUAAGGUCUUAAUCAUACAAGCUACGCUCUGAUACCACAUGUAAAACUUUAUUAGCCUAUAUAGAUUAAAACACAUAUAAGUAACUAACCUGGAGACGCCAUGCGUGAAACCUUGGUGUGCAAAGAGUCUUCUACGUUGUACUGAUCCUUAGCAAUCAAACCGUAUGGGGAGUUUGUGAAUAUUGCGCAUAUCAGCAAACGCAGGGACCUUCACUUAUAUAGACAUAUUAACCUAAGAGGCUUAGCCCAUCAUUGAGACCUAAUAGGUAACUGAAUAUGUCUAUAUCUCCUUAACCAAUCAGGAUUAGGAACCCCUUUAGCAAGAAUAACAACUUAAUAUUACAUUCCUUUUGCAACCGGUAAAGUCCAAGUUAAUUCCCUAAUCCUAUAACUUGAUCCUCAAGUAACGUACAAUGAUUGUGAGACCACAAAACCUUGUGAGAACCGGAUUUUACUCCAACAUAUA